UGCUAUACAUGCAGUCGAACGAACUCUGGUAUUGAUUGGUGCUUGCAUCAUGAUUUACAUUUGAGUGAGUGGCGAACUGGUGAGUAACACGUGGGAAACCUGCCCAGAAGCGGGGGAUAACACCUGGAAACAGAUGCUAAUACCGCAUAACAACUUGGACCGCAUGGUCCGAGUUUGAAAGAUGGCUUCGGCUAUCACUUUUGGAUGGUCCCGCGGCGUAUUAGCUAGAUGGUGGGGUAACGGCUCACCAUGGCAAUGAUACGUAGCCGACCUGAGAGGGUAAUCGGCCACAUUGGGACUGAGACACGGCCCAAACUCCUACGGGAGGCAGCAGUAGGGAAUCUUCCACAAUGGACGAAAGUCUGAUGGAGCAACGCCGCGUGAGUGAAGAAGGGUUUCGGCUCGUAAAACUCUGUUGUUAAAGAAGAACAUAUCUGAGAGUAACUGUUCAGGUAUUGACGGUAUUUAACCAGAAAGCCACGGCUAACUACGUGCCAGCAGCCGCGGUAA
rnacentral:rRNA from 2 species